GAUGAACGCUGGCGGCGUGCCUAAUACAUGCAAGUCGAGCGAACAGAUGAGGAGCUUGCUCCUCUGACGUUAGCGGCGGACGGGUGAGUAACACGUGGAUAACCUACCUAUAAGACUGGGAUAACUUCGGGAAACCGGAGCUAAUACCGGAUAAUAUAUUGAACCGCAUGGUUCAAUAGUGAAAGACGGUUUUGCUGUCACUUAUAGAUGGAUCCGCGCCGCAUUAGCUAGUUGGUAAGGUAACGGCUUACCGAGGCAACGAUGCGUAGCCGACCUGAGAGGGUGAUCGGCCACACUGGAACUGAGACACGGUCCAGACUCCUACGGGAGGCAGCAGUAGGGAAUCUUCCGCAAUGGGCGAAAGCCUGACGGAGCAACGCCGCGUGAGUGAUGAAGGUCUUCGGAUCGUAAAACUCUGUUAUUAGGGAAGAACAAAUGUGUAAGUAACUAUGCACGUCUUGACGGUACCUAAUCAGAAAGCCACGGCUAACUACGUG
rnacentral:rRNA from 1 species